UUUCUGUCUGCAAACAACUUCAAGAAUGUGUAAGUCAAUGACUCUCACAUUUCAGACUAAGAAGAGCUUUGUUUCGAAUCUGUCAGCUCAUUAACGUUGAAGCCAAAUUUAAAAAACAAACAAAAACAAAAAAAACAGUAAUUGUUUGGUGACAGUCAUGGAUGACAUGAUUGGAAUCUUUGUUUGUGCCAUCGUCGCGUUGUUGCUUUUCAAGUUAAUUUACAUGGCGGAAAACAAUUAACAACUUAACAAAUAAAAGCAUUUGAAGAGGUAGCCCAAAAGUGAACGCCGACUGUUGUUUUCCUAACGCCGUUCUACGUUGUUUGAAAAAAUCAAAGCUCUUUUCUAUAUUUAAACAGCAAAACUCUAAAAUUAAAAGUGAACAGUGACUAUUUUAAUAAAUAUAAACUAUUUUUUAAAAACGAAAGUUCGGCUGACACGGGUGAAUUCCGUUAAACAGGGGCAACUAAUGUAAGAUGGAAACCCGUUGGAUUGCGGAUUUGGUUGUUGCGGAAGGGACAAGAAAACGAUUAUAAUGUGACGCGAUCAUCACAACAACAUCGCACUUUGAAUGCCAACGUUCUUCCAAUUUUCUCAUCAUUUUCUUCCAUGUUAUUUGACUUGAAUUUGCAAACUGUUUUGACUUGGUAAAACACGGUAACUGCUAGUUUCCCUGUCGAGCCAGAAGACUCAUCGGGAUACUCAGCUGGUCCGGCGAUAAGAAUAUCCAGGCAAAUAUUCUGAUGAAUUCAUCCGAACUAUCCAGCGAAUUGUUGACACCCUUCACUGGACUGGAGAAGACCAGCCUCUCUGUCAAAUACGAUUUCGACCAGCAAAAGCAGACGAUGGAUU